GACAUCCCAAUGACAUCUCCUUAAUCGGAGAGUUCCCUUCGGGGACAUUGGUGACAGGUGGUGCAUGGUUGUCGUCAGCUCGUGUCGUGGGAUGUUGGGUUAAGUCCCGCAACGAGCGCAACCCUUGUCUUUAGUUGCCAUCAUUAAGUUGGGCACUCUAGAGAGACUGCCAGGGAUAACCUGGAGGAAGGUGGGGAUGACGUCAAAUCAUCAUGCCCCUUAUGCUUAGGGCUACAC
rnacentral:rRNA from 1 species